AAGGUAAUCCGGACACCUCUGGAGGUCAGCCUGAACCCAGGCUUGAUCCUUGCGUUUCAGUUAAGUGUUUCCACCACAUGGAUGAAAACUUUAACUUGAGCCCCAGUUUAACCUCUUCAAAAUUUCGUUCUUAAAAAUGUGGUCGGACAACUUACUCAAACCCGUUUUAUGAAGCGUGCUGGACGAGAGCAAUUGCUUGACAAGGAGUCUUAUUAGGGGUUUCUACUCUGAAUUUGGACGAGCUGUCAACGAUUCAAAUUUGCACCAUAGUUGUCCUAAGUAACUUGACUACGAAUGAAACAUUUAUUCCACCAGCGACAGCUGAGACGAAAACAUGCGAUCGCAGGGCCCUUGAUCGAUCUAUAUAUGAAGUUAUCUAUGAUGAACAUCAUCACCUUAUCAACAAGCUCGGUAGGGUGAUCCAAGAAUCCGCUAUCCUUUUCUGCCAAGUCCGUGUCGUGGAUUUCAAUGGCAGCAAGGCUGUCUUGGAACGUAUCUAAUGCUUCCAUGCAUUUCUGGGAAUGGUAGUCCGGACAUCUUUUGGUUGUGAAAAGGGUGAUCCCUGCUUUCAGGAUUUCAUUGACGCCCAUUGUAUGAAAAAAGACACUUCAUAUGAUGGUACCGAAAUAGAGUCGACGGUAACCGUCUCUAUUGAGCAAUGUCAUGAGAUGUGUCUGAGACAUCCGGAUUGUGACCACGCUUCGUUUUCACAUGACGACGACAGAUGCCUAUUGAAGAGUGAUAAGGUCACCCUCAAGGCCCAACCCGGUCAUUACGUCAUUCCCAAAACCUGCAUUCCACGCUGCACUAUGGACACCGUAGAUUUCGCCCAAAUGGAUUUAGGAGGUGUGUCCAAUGUGAACAGCCUUAUGGAUUGCCACGCCCUUUGUCUCGACAAGCCCGACUGUUUUGGGGUAGUUUGGGCGAAACCGUUCGAAAAUAAUAUAUAUGCUAAAACGUGUUGGUUCAAGAAUGCCUUUCGUGUUGAUUCAACUCGGACAAUGUAUUAUGGUGUGUCCAUGCCAAGAUAUUGCCUCCAUGGGGCAUUGACGACUUUCGGAACACAACUUUUAUAAAUUAUCAAUUAAUGAAUAAAAAAACUAUUGCUGAUUCUUAGCUUAUCCAGUUCAAUACUUAGAUGAGAACUGAGUUCACAUGAAACGAAACGUUGCUUUUCUUCAAAAGUUAAUUUACAUUUCAUCUGAAAGUUUAAUUAGGUGAUAUAAAAACAGGCGCACCAAAAAAGGAAAAAUACACAAAAGUUUAUGGUCAGCACACCAAUUAAUAAACGUACACACGCAUAGAUAAAAAAGUACACAAACAAAAGCGAUCACACCAACAACAGAUUUUGGCAUACCAAACUACAUUUUGGCACACCAAGCUACAUUUUGGCACACCAAACUACAUUUUGGCACAACAAACUUUAUUUCGGCACACCAAACCAAAUAUUGGUAAACAAAAGGGCAAAGUAGCACACAGCAUCUGUGGAACCAGCCACAGACCACUAGAAUAAGUGGUUCUUCUGUGAACCAGCUCACAAAUGAAAACCACAGCUGCCUGAUUCAUGCAGAGAAUCUGAGGGCUUAUGAGGUUAAAGCAAGGACACUAAAGCAAGGAAACGCCACUUUUUGUGAUCACCAAACCUUUCCCGCCAAGUAAGGCCUCAUUUUUUGUUGCUGAAGUUUUUGAAUGUCAAUCAUUGGCGUAAUUAUUUGCGAAAAUAUGUGACCAAUAUCAUUUUCGUAACCAUUGAUGGUAUGUGCUUAAAACUAGACAUUUAAAUAUAUUUAAAUGACUUUAAACAUGUCUUAAAGUACAACAACACUGAAAAGUGCUAAUUAGGUGUUCUUGAUAAAACAAAAGUUUGCUCAAAACACAAUCAGCCAAUACUCAUUUGCUAAUAACAUUAUUUGUAGAAAAUUGCUUAAGAAACAUCUUGACAAAAUUUCAAGUAAUUUGACGCGUUUGUUAUGAAACUAUGGUUCUCACUCUGGGAAUGGCCCUCAAUCCAAAACUAGACAUACUGUAGCUCUUAGCUACAUAUUGUUCUUUAAACUCAUAUGGAUGCUUCAUAAUCAUAGAAUGAUAAUUUCAAGAGAUAUGGCACCUGCUUAAUUUGACUAUUUUGAUAUUUUGGAUGCUUUUGCAAGAAAAAGAAUUUAUUGGAGUCCAAAGUUCAAAUUGAGGUAUAGUCUACUGUACUUUGGUAUUACUCUGUACCGCUUAAAUAAUGCCCGCCUUUUAUGCAAACUUCCCAAUAAGUAGAAAUUUAAACUCUACAAAAAGAUAACUCAUUCAUUUUUCACCAUUUCUUUCUUUUUUUUGUCAAAUGUGUGGAUUAAAACAAAUGUAUCAAUUGUCCAUCCCAGAUAUUCUAAUAUAUGUUAACAUUUAUGUACAUGCACUUAUAUUACCUAUUCCAUAUAUUUCUUUUAUAUUUUGUUUGUGCAAGUUCCUCAUCAAUUAAUGAAGUGAUUCUUGUUGAUUUUUAUCUAUGCGUGUUUUUGAGCCAGUUUGACGCAAUAUUUCACUGAUUUGAAAGACAAUUCGAUUGUUUUUCAUUAAUUUGAUGUUCAUGGGUAUUUCAUUUAUUCUUCCUGACUUUCAAAAUUAAUUCAGAAAUAUCUAAUAUAUGGACGGAGUUGUAUAUCAAGGAGAUACACUUUAAUGUACAAUGUAGUACAGAUAAUCUUGUUUUAUUGAUACUAGAGUUGCUGUCUUAAUUCAACGCAAUGGCCUAACUUGGCGGUUAGGGGAGAGCCGUGUCGUUUCCUCUCUUUAGAGUCCCUGCUUAAAGUGACCAACUAACAAUGCAUGGGUGAAAAACAUGGAUGGCCGUGGUUGAAAAAAGAGCUCAGUUGAUUGUUUUUUUUUACGUGACAAUCUAACAUUAAUACUCUAUUUUUCAAAUCAUACUGUAUCUUCCAACAAUUCAGAAAGGGUGGAAUCAAGAUUAGAUAAAAUUUAGUCAGAGAGAUUCCUUGUUGCUUUUUUAAUUUUUAUUUUGCUUUUAAUUUUCAUGUUUGGUAUGCUUUAAAACCUUUUCUGUGUACUUAGUAUGAAUUUUGAUUUGAAUGAUUUUCUUUGGUGUGCCAAAUUUUACUCUUUGUGUCUAGCCUUUUAAAUUCGGUGGGCAAUUUCUAUUUCUGGUGUGCCACAAACACUUUAUUAUGUGCCCCCUUGCGUGUGCCACUUUAUAGUUUUGGUGUGCCACUUCAUAGUUUUGGUGCGUUCCUUUUUAUUUUAAGUGUGUUGGUAAGCGUGUGCCACUUUAUUCCUUUUGGUGUGCCGAUUUCUAUUUUACCCUAUUUCAUUGUUAUGAGCACAUUUCUUCCAUGUUGCAGAGCGGGAGCAACCCAAUGGGUGGUACCUCUUUCAAAGCAGUUACUAUAAGUUUAUUGCCCAAAAUAACACAUAUGAAACAGGAAUGGCCACUUGUGAAGCUUUGGGCGGACAACUAGCUUCUCUGGAGUCUCAAGAGGAAUUCAUGUUUGCGCGUACAAUAGCUUUUACCUUGAGCUUUCACCAGCCUGAUGAAUUCAGCGGUGAUUAUCGGAUAGGCUUAUAUGGAAAUGGCUCACAAUGGACUUGGAGCAACGGAAAUAUCAUGGACUCGAACGUCAUCAGUCUAUGGUGUCCAAAUGAACCAAGGAGCACGGAUUCAUUGAGCUACGUUCAGUUUUGGGGUGGUGCUGGUUUUUGCAGAGACGAUAUUCAAGCCAACACAAAGCCUCAAAACCUCAUUUGUGAGGCAUCGGUGUGCACAAUGGAUCCUCCUACGUUGAACAAUGCCAAGCGCGACAUUCGUCCAAUCGGCAUAUUAAGUCACAAGUAAAUGAUGUGUUAUAACUUUUGAACAGCUGUCAUUUUUAUUUUUCACUCAUAAUUCAAGCGUGUUAACGUUGUUUCUAUAUUUUUUGGUAUGUGCAUGUACAUAUAAUGCUUUUCAGUGUCUUCCACUUUCAUUUUGGUAUUUGCACUAAGAUAUCCUCACGCUUGAAAUAGAGGCAAGUGGGAGAAUUGACAUUGUUAUUGAGUAAUUGAAAUGACAUUUCUGAGUAAUUGUAGUUUCAAUAAAUUCCAUUUGAAGUCUGAUUAAUUGUAAUUGAUAACAUUUUAAAGACAGUUGAUGGAACAUGCUAAUUAAGAAUUUUGAAAACCAAAGUAAUUGGCAAAAAUUCAUACAAUUGUUUUGGAAUCAUUACAGCAAUUUUCGGAUUUUUUGUAAAUUGAUCCUUUAUUGAAUGUUGUAGUGUCAUGAGAUGUUGAAGUUAAGAAGUACCUAAAUUGCAUUUAACUUGAUUUGCAAUACACAGCACCACCAAUCAAUCUGAUUUUAAUGAUCACCACAGUUCUGUUGAAAUUAGCACUUUUUAUAUAGCAAUAUUUUUAUGACCACUCUUAGUCAUGUCAUGGUGUAAAAAAAAAUAGGAAAGAUGGUUUAUAGAUAUAAAUCCUUUGGUAUUGAUCGAUAUCAGUUUCAGCAUCAUAUUUCAUUGUUGUGAUAGAAUAAAAAGAAAUCUGUUCGUA